CAUUGCAAGGGUUAAGAGCCUGGACUCAUCUAUUCAUCUUGAAGCAGCAGCUUACAGCAUUGUUAUGCUUUUUAUGUUACCACAGGAUCUAGAGGCCCCAUUGUGCUAGGCAGCUAAGAAUCUACUUUCCUAAAAGAAAAUCCAGUGCGGCUCCCAGAACAGGAUUAUUGAGAUCUCACUGCUACGGGAGUCUGAAGACAGAUGGAUCGCCCUGUACUUGGAGCACUAAGUAUAAUCUGGUGAUACAGGUGCCGCAAAGUGAACCCCAAAGCUGGGUACACAGGCACAGCCUCUGCAAAGCCUGCUGAAGAGCUCUCCUCCCCAUCAUCAAGCAGGGUCCCGAGCGAUGCUCUAACAUCACACCACGCGUCCCUCCCUGGGAACCCAAUCUCCUGAGCAAAGGGCUGAGGUCCUACCAUCAAAAUGGUAUCGGAUUUCUUCAAACCCAGCCGGUCCUCUCGCAUGCCUUUCCUGGUGUGAGCACCAUCCAAACCUUCCAACACUAACAAUUUGCUUGUGAGACGCUGUAAUUCACUCUUGCAAUGGAGUGUAAAGGGACUCUGCAGGGAUACCUAUACAUAAUUGUAUUUAAAUGAUUGAUCAGAGAACUUUAAA